ensembl:lncRNA
CAACAUAUCUCCACCCAGGGCGGAAGAAUAAUAGCUUAAGAGGGCGUGUUCACAGACAGUGUGUCAGGUUGUGGUGGCGGAAGUAGGACUCUCAACACAACUCAUCAACGAUGAACCUACCUGGGAAGGUGCAGGCGAUUGAACACAGGACGAAACAAUCAGAGACACGGAAGACAAUCAGUAUCACACGGGAAAGCCAACAUGGCAAGAAGUGAAGAAAGGCAGGAAACUACAAAAUGAAACAGGAACCAAACCGCCACCGUGACACAGAGGAGUACAAAGGGUGGACAAAUAUACUGAAUCUGGGUGUAUGUGUGGUCAAAGAACAACAUAUUCCAGUUAGACAAUUGAAUUUCCCAGAAACUAUCUUAAUCCCAAGUGGAGAUUAAAAAUCGAACCUGUGAUUAAAUUGAAGCGGCACGGAGUGUUAAUUGAGACAAACACCUGUAAUCAUUGCCAUGGAGCGGCUUGCUUCCCUUGAAAUAAAGGACUUGACCUUGAAUCAAUGAGAUAUUUUAAUCCUUUUAUAAAUGGUAAAUAAAGAGGGUGGUAUCAAAAAGUAUGUAAGAGACUUUACUUUUUCGCCUGAAAUAAAACACAGAUACUGUUACAUCACAUUGGCCCACAUGUUUAAUGUGGGAUGCAAAUGUCUAAACUGUCAGAUAAAACACACCGUACGAAUGUUUCACACAGAUGACCACCGCACUGACCUCUAAAUACCUAGUUGGACACAUGAUUCAACCAAAAGGACUUGAUCUUAACACAAUUUUAAUUUUAAAGUUCAUAAUGAUCAUCUGGAUUAGGAAGACAUCCACACGGUCACCUAUACUCACUGUGUAAAAGCAUGUCAAUUAUUUAUUUUUUACGCACAAAAUCAUAUGUCAGGUAAAGAUUCUUUAUAAAUAAUACUGUUUUACUGAGUCCUUUAUGGUUGAGUAAAUAUUGAAAUAGAUUUUUUUUCAUUCUAGUCACAAAGUUCUGUGUUGUUUUUCACUUUCAGUGAGAGACAACACGUAAGGAGAAGUCUACUCUGUCUGUUCACGCCUGCACAUUUCAAAACCCCUACAGACUUUCUGUCUUUGAUUAAGCUGCCAAGAGGCUGAACGCAAACUAUUGGGUAAUGCCUGCAGGGAGAGCAGAAGAGCGAUACGACGAUACGUCUUCUUCUCUCUCAAGUCUUAAGGCUUCUCAAUGUUUUUCUUUCUGCCUUUUAAUUUCCCAUUCAAUAUCUUAGAAAUGAAUAUCAGUGUUUCUACCCUCACCUCAU